AGGCCUGUAGCUCAACGGUUAGAGCCGGCGGCUCAUAACCGCUUGGUUGGGGGUUCGAAUCCCUCCAGGCCUACCA
rnacentral:tRNA from 2 species